UACGUAGGUGGCAAGCGUUAUCCGGAAUUACUGGGCGUAAAGCGCACGCAGGCGGUCUUGUAAGUUUGACGUGAAAGCUCCCGGCUUAACUGGGAGAGGUCGUUGAAUACUGCGAGACUUGAGUUUAGGAGAGGGGUGCAGAAUUCCCGGUGUAGUGGUGGAAUGCGUAGAUAUCGGGGAGGAAUACCAGUGGCGAAAGCGGCACCCUAGCCUUUGACUGACGCUCAUGUGCGAAAGCGUGGGGAGCGAACGGG
rnacentral:rRNA from 1 species